GGUCAUUUGCAGGCCCGCUCUCGGCACAAAAGAUACAGCAACCACAGAUGAUCAUUUCAACCUAGUUAGGCAUCAUCAGUUAGUACACCUGAUAUUCCUCUAGUCACCGUGAGCAAGGUGCCCAUGUAUGAAUUACCGUUUAAACUCAAAGAGAGCAAAAAACAAGUUGCAAGAGAGUACUGAGAAUGGACAACAGAUCAA